rfam:Staphylococcus sp. CAG:324 genomic scaffold, scf10
UAUAUCUAGCAACCGCACAAAAAGGGUUUUAUAAGUGAGAUAUUCCACCCUAAUGGCGUGUCUUAAAAAUAUA